rnacentral:tRNA from 1 species
GGCGCGUUGUGCAUCUGGGUAUGCAGCCCCGUUGUCUCCGGGGUGAGACGGGUUCGAUUCCCGUACGCGUCG